rnacentral:rRNA from 1 species
AGUGGAGCGAGCAAUUUUAACGGAAUACCUUCGGGUAGGAAGAUAAAAGCGCGAGCGGCGGAUGGGUGAGUAACACGUGGGCAACCUGCCCUUUAGCUUGGGAUACCACUUGGAAACAGGUGCUAAUACCAAAUAAGAAGUAAGAGCGCAUGCUCAAGCUAUGAAAGGCGGCUUUCGAGCUGUCACUAAAGGAUGGGCCCGCGGUGCAUUAGCUAGUUGGUAAGGUAACGGCUUACCAAGGCGACGAUACAUAGCCGACCUGAGAGGGUGAUCGGCCACACUGGGACUGAGACACGGCCCAGACUCCUACGGGAGGCAGCAGUAGGGAAUCUUCCACAAUGGACGCAAGUCUGAUGGAGCAACGCCGCGUGAGUGAAGAAGGUUUUCGGAUCGUAAAGCUCUGUUGUUGGUGAAGAAGGAUAAGGAUAGUAACUGAUUCUUAUUUGACGGUAAUCAACCAGAAAGUCACGGCUAACUACGUGCCAGCAGCCGCGGUAAUACGUAGGUGGCAAGCGUUGUCCGGAUUUAUUGGGCGUAAAGCGAACGCAGGCGGGAGAACAAGUCAGCUGUGAAAGCCCNCNGCUUAACNGNGGAANNGCAACUGAAACUGUUUUUCUUGAGUGCAGAAGAGGAGAGUGGAACUCCAUGUGUAGCGGUGAAAUGCGUAGAUAUAUGGAAGAACACCAGUGGCGAAGGCGGCUCUCUGGUCUGUAACUGACGCUGAGGUUCGAAAGCAUGGGUAGCGAACAGGAUUAGAUACCCUGGUAGUCCAUGCCGUAAACGAUGAGUGCUAAGUGUUGGGAGUGGAGGUCGCUAGAUGGUC